AGAGGGAUAGCUGGGUCAAAUGGUGGUUCCAUUUCCGAUUUUCCAAGGAAUCUCCAUAUUGCUUUCCAUAUUGGCUGCACCAAUUUGCAGUCCCACCAGCAAU
rnacentral:pre_miRNA from 1 species